rnacentral:rRNA from 1 species
AGAGUUUGAUCAUGGCUCAGAACGAACGCUGGCGGCGUGCCUGAGACAUGCAAGUCGUGGGAGAAAGUCGGGGCAACUCGGCGAGUAAACCGGCGCACGGGUGAGUAAUACGUGGAUAACCUGCCUUGGAGACUGGGAUAACCCGUCGAAAGACGGACUAAUACCAGAUAAGACCACGGACAGUUCGCUGUUCGAGGUAA